rnacentral:rRNA from 1 species
AACGAACGCUGGCGGCAGGCCUAACACAUGCAAGUCGAGCGAGGACUUCGGUUCUAGCGGCGGACGGGUGAGUAACGCGUGGGAAUGUGCCCUUCUCUACGGAAUAGCCCUGGGAAACUGGGAGUAAUACCGUAUACGCCCUAUUGGGAAAAGAUUUAUCGGAGAAGGAUCAGCCCGCGUUGGAUUAGGUAGUUGGUGGGGUAAUGGCCUACCAAGCCGACGAUCCAUAGCUGGUUUGAGAGGAUGAUCAGCCACACUGGGACUGAGACACGGCCCAGACUCCUACGGGAGGCAGCAGUGGGGAAUCUUAGACAAUGGGGGCAACCCUGAUCUAGCCAUGCCGCGUGAGUGAUGAAGGCCUUAGGGUUGUAAAGCUCUUUCAGCUGGGAAGAUAAUGACGGUACCAGCAGAAGAAGCCCCGGCUAACUCCGUG